rnacentral:rRNA from 1 species
GACAGAGGGUGCAAACGUUGCUCGGAAUUACUGGGCGUAAAGCGCGUGUAGGCUGAUUCGUGUGUCGGGCGUGAAAUCCCCCGGGCUCAACCCGGGAACUGCGUCCGAUACUGGCAGGCUUGAAUCCGGGAGAGGGAUGUGGAAUUCCAGGUGUAGCGGUGAAAUGCGUAGAUAUCUGGAGGAACACCGGUGGCGAAGGCGGCAUCCUGGACCGGUAUUGACGCUGAGGCGCGAAAGCCAGGGGAGCAAAGC